GAUGAAGAACGCAGCGAAAUGCGAUAAGUAAUGUGAAUUGCAGAAUUCAGUGAAUCAUCGAAUCUUUGAACGCACCUUUCGCCCUUUGGCUAUUCCGAAGGGCAUGCCUGUUUGAGUAUCAUGAAAACCUCAACUCUCAUGGCUUGCCAUGAUGAGCUUGGACUCUGGGGGUCUUGCUGGCUUUACGGUCAGCUCCUCUCAAAUAAAUCAGCUUGCCGGUGUUUGGUGGGAUCACAGGUGUGAUAACUAUCUACGCUUGUGGUUUUCCGCCAGGUAACCUUCAGCAAUGGAGGUUCGCUGGAGCUCAUAAAUGUCUCUCCUCAGCGAGGACAGAUUUUGACCGUUUGAUCUCAAAUCAGGUAGGACUACCCGCUGAACUUAAGCAUAUCAAUAAGCGGAGGA
rnacentral:misc_RNA from 1 species